CAAGACAUUUUUACAUUUGUAAAUUACAACAAAUUAAUAAUGAAACUAUUUCAAUUAAUAUUCGUAAUUGGCUGCAUGAUUGUCAGCGUUUUUGCUACUCCUGGUCAUAAUAUCAUAAAAGGCGAUCACAAUAGUAAUAUUAAUCAAAGCAACAGCGAUUUUGAUCUUGAUAUCGAUUUUUCGUUAUAAUUAUAAAAAUUAUGAGAAAAAGUUAAAAAAGUAAAUAAAUGAAUUACUAACACAAA